rnacentral:rRNA from 1 species
UUGUCUCUCUUGAGUGGAUCCUGAGUACGACGGAGCACGUGAAAUUCCGUCGGAAUCUGGGAGGACCAUCUCCUAAGGCUAAAUACUCUCUAGUGACCGAUAGUGAACCAGUACCGUGAGGGAAAGGUGAAAAGCACCCCGGAAGGGGAGUGAAAUAGAACCUGAAACCGUGUGCUUACAAGUAGUCAGAGCCCGUUAAUGGGUGAUGGCGUGCCUUUUGUAGAAUGAACCGGCGAGUUACGAUUUGAUGCAAGGUUAAGCAGUAAAUGUGGAGCCGUAGCGAAAGCGAGUCUGAAUAGGGCGUUUAGUAUUUGGUCGUAGACCCGAAACCAGGUGAUCUACCCUUGGUCAGGUUGAAGUUCAGGUAACACUGAAUGGAGGACCGAACCGACUUACGUUGAAAAGUGAGCGGAUGAACUGAGGGUAGCGGAGAAAUUCCAAUCGAACCUGGAGAUAGCUGGU